UCUAGUGGUAGCCCAUCACCAUGACCGAGUUUGAUCCCUGCUGCUUGUGCCAGUAGUGGGAGAGGGAGGGUUGUCAGAGUUCUGCAGAGGCAGUGUGCAUAGCUCUUGAGGUAAAAGAAAGCUAUACUUGCAGUUAGCUAGUGGAGUUGCUGAAGGAGUAGCACAGAGAGGCUCUGAAGGAAACAGCUUCCAGUUCACUCCUCUAAAGGAAAAGUUAUUGUUAUGAAGAAAAAAAAAAAAAGAGGAAAAAGUAACAGAUCCUGGCAGCAACCACUGCAAUGGAAGAGAAUUAAAGCAUGAACAACAGCUCUCAAACUAACAGAGCAUGCCCAGUGGGUUCUCCAUGGUCUUCUGAGGGAAUGCUGGUAGUGGACAGACCCUGAAAGAGGUGGAGUUAGGGUCCCAUAUAUACAGCACCAGGCAGCAAGUCCCACAUCAGUGUAAAGUUUAGGUAAUGAAAAAUGGACACUUCAGGGUUAAAGAGAGAACCAGGCCUAAGAUUUGAUCACUAUCUUACAGAAAUUUUACAUAGAAAAAUCUGGCUUUGGAAAAUUGAGCACCUAUGGAACAGGAUUGGUAACAUUUUGGAGAAAGGAAGUCCUAUUUAAAGAAAUGGUGCCUUGCCCCUUCAAUGAGGGUGGGAGAACUAACAUAUAUCACUUGACACUGAAAGCUCUGCCAGUGCAUCUUACUUGAAAUUACAUUGGAUUUAUAAUGCGACCCUGAUCCUGACUGGGAGUAUAGCAAGUUACCAUGAUGCAAACAAUCAAAAUAAAAAAAAAUUCAAC